rnacentral:misc_RNA from 1 species
AAGUCGUAACAAGGUUUCCGUAGGUGAACCUGCGGAAGGAUCAUUAACUCAUGAUUUAAUCGUCAUGUUUUAAACAAACACAUUAAACUAAACCAAAACACUCCGUGAACUUAUAUAACCAAAAUCGAAAUAUGGGGUAGUUUGAGGGUUCAAUGCUGGCAACAGUUAUGUUCAAUCGCUAUUUCAUGUUAUAACCCAAUUAUAUUUUUUAACCAAAUAUUAACCAAAACUUUUACCGUACAUGCCUGUGUUCAUCGAGUUAUUUACGAUGGGCAACCUGGGCCUGACUGAACUAAAAACUUCAUUAUCCUAACGGAGGUGAUUUUAAUAAAUAACAAAUAUAUACAACUCUUAACAAUGGAUAUCUUGGCUCUC